rnacentral:misc_RNA from 1 species
CAGGACUCGCAAGACUCCUACAACCCUGUGAACUUAACUAUAAGCACGUUGCUUCGGCGGGUGUCUCGGCGAGGGUCCUCCCUCCCCGGGGCGCUAAGCCCGCCGGCAGCCUACUAUACUCUGUCUCUUUGGCGUUGGCAUCUCGAGUACAAUCAAACAAGUUA